ACGGCCAUAUCACGUUGAAACAAUUGUUCCCAUAAGAUCCUCAACGCUAAGCAAGGCCGAGCCUGGUCAGUACCUAAAUGGGUGACCGGUUGGGAAUAAU